UACGUAGGGGGCGAGCGUUGUCCGGAAUUACUGGGCGUAAAGAGCACGUAGGCGGUUCGUUAAGUCGGCUGUGAAAUUCCUCGGCCCAACCGAGGGGGGUCAGCCGAUACUGGCGGGCUGGAGGGAGGCAGGGGGAAGCGGAAUUCCCGGAGUAGUGGUGAAAUGCGUAGAUACCGGGAGGAACACCAGAGGCGAAAGCGGCUUCCUGGGCUUUUCCUGACGCUGAGGUGCGAAGGCGUGGGGAGCGAACCGG
rnacentral:rRNA from 1 species